UAGGGAAUUUUGGACAAUGGGCGAAAGCCUGAUCCAGCAACGCCGCGUGCGCGAUGAAGGCCUUCGGGUUGUAAAGCGCUUUUAGAGGAGAUGAGAAAGGACAGUAUCCUCUGAAUAAGCCUCGGCGAACUACGUGCCAGCAGCCGCGGUAAAACGUAGGAGGCUAGCGUUAUCCGGAUUUAUUGGGCGUAAAGCGUGUGCAGGCGGUUAUGCAAGUUGGAUGUGAAAGCUCCUGGCUUAACUGUGAGAGGUCGUUCAAAACUGCAUGACUAGAGAAUGGGAGAGGGAGGUGGAAUUCCGGGUGUAGUGGUGAAAUGCGUAGAUAUCCGGAGGAACACCAGUGGCGAAAGCGGCCUCCUGGACCAUUUCUGACGCUCAGACACGAAAGCUAGGGUAGCAAACG
rnacentral:rRNA from 1 species